rnacentral:rRNA from 1 species
UACGUAGGGGGCAAGCGUUGUCCGGAAUCAUUGGGCGUAAAGAGCGUGUAGGCGGCUCGGUAAGUCCGCUGUGAAAGUCCAGGGCUCAACCCUGGAAUGCCGGUGGAAACUGUCGAGCUAGAGUCCGGAAGAGGCGAGUGGAAUUCCUGGUGUAGCGGUGAAAUGCGCAGAUAUCAGGAGGAACACCAAUGGCGAAGGCAGCUCGCUGGGACGGUACUGACGCUGAGGUGCGAAAGCGUGGGGGAGCAAACAGG